UAUGGAGAGUUUGAUCCUGGCUCAGAGUGAACGCUGGCGGCGUGCCUAAUACAUGCAAGUCGAACGAUGAAGCUUCUAGCUUGCUAGAAUGCUGAUUAGUGGCGCACGGGUGAGUAACGCAUAGGUUAUGUGCCUCUUAGUUUGGGAUAGCCAUUGGAAACGAUGAUUAAUACCAGAUACUCCCUACGGGGGAAAGAUUUAUCGCUAAGAGAUCAGCCUAUGUCCUAUCAGCUUGUUGGUAAGGUAAUGGCUUACCAAGGCUAUGACGGGUAUCCGGCCUGAGAGGGUGAACGGACACACUGGAACUGAGACACGGUCCAGACUCCUACGGGAGGCAGCAGUAGGGAAUAUUGCUCAAUGGGGGAAACCCUGAAGCAGCAACGCCGCGUGGAGGAUGAAGGUUUUAGGAUUGUAAACUCCUUUUGUUAGAGAAGAUAAUGACGGUAUCUAACGAAUAAGCACCGGCUAACUCCGUGCCAGCAGCCGCGGUAAUACGGAGGGUGCAAGCGUUACUCGGAAUCACUGGGCGUAAAGAGCGCGUAGGCGGGAUAGUCAGUCAGGUGUGAAAUCCUAUGGCUUAACCAUAGAACUGCAUUUGAAACUACUAUUCUAGAGUGUGGGAGAGGUAGGUGGAAUUCUUGGUGUAGGGGUAAAAUCCGUAGAGAUCAAGAGGAAUACUCAUUGCGAAGGCGACCUGCUGGAACAUUACUGACGCUGAUUGCGCGAAAGCGUGGGGAGCAAACAGGAUUAGAUACCCUGGUAGUCCACGCCCUAAACGAUGGAUGCUAGUUGUUGGAGGGCUUAGUCUCUCCAGUAAUGCAGCUAACGCAUUAAGCAUCCCGCCUGGGGAGUACGGUCGCAAGAUUAAAACUCAAAGGAAUAGACGGGGACCCGCACAAGCGGUGGAGCAUGUGGUUUAAUUCGAAGAUACACGAAGAACCUUACCUAGGCUUGACAUUGAGAGAAUCCGCUAGAAAUAGUGGAGUGUCUGGCUUGCCAGACCUUGAAAACAGGUGCUGCACGGCUGUCGUCAGCUCGUGUCGUGAGAUGUUGGGUUAAGUCCCGCAACGAGCGCAACCCCCUUUCUUAGUUGCUAACAGGUUAUGCUGAGAACUCUAAGGAUACUGCCUCCGUAAGGAGGAGGAAGGUGGGGACGACGUCAAGUCAUCAUGGCCCUUACGCCUAGGGCUACACACGUGCUACAAUGGGGUGCACAAAGAGAAGCAAUACUGCGAAGUGGAGCCAAUCUUCAAAACACCUCUCAGUUCGGAUUGUAGGCUGCAACUCGCCUGCAUGAAGCUGGAAUCGCUAGUAAUCGCAAAUCAGCCAUGUUGCGGUGAAUACGUUCCCGGGUCUUGUACUCACCGCCCGUCACACCAUGGGAGUUGUGUUUGCCUUAAGUCAGGAUGCUAAAUUGGCUACUGCCCACGGCACACACAGCGACUGGGGUGAAGUCGUAACAAGGUAACCGUAGGUGAACCUGCGGUUGGAUCACCUCCUU
rnacentral:rRNA from 1 species